UUCAGGAAAUAGAAAAAAAAACUGAACCUUAUCUCUUAUCUCUCCCUCACAAUGUGAGCUCUCCUUGUCCAUAGGAGGCGUGUUCCACAUCUUUCUUCUCUUCCCCAAGCCGAAGGGAAGAAUCCCUUUCUCUCUUCUCCAGCCAGCCUACUCCACCCUCCCUUCCUUCCCCACUCCUCCCCAGGUGCCUCCUUGCUGCCCUUUGAUUUAGGGCUUUGAGGAAGAAGGAAAGGAGACAAGAAGAGGGAGAACAAGAAAGCUUCCCCAACUUUUCCCUUCACCAAAUCUUUGUGAUUUGACCAUAGAGGUACAUCACCGUGAGGCUUUGCAAGUAUUAGGAAGGGCGUAGCUCCCAUGGGUGUUCACUCACACAUUUCACACCCCUUCCAUCCACCUAGCUGGUCAUGAUAACUCUCAUACUUAGUUCAUGAUUCUUGGUAGCUAGGAUCUACUUGUGGUGUAUAAACUUUGCCUUGGUUUGUUUCCUUGAUCACUAUGUUUACCUGUCAAGGUGGGUUGGAGUUGACUAGUCCCCACCUUGCACCAUGGUGUGUUGGAACGUAUGUUUUCUUUGCUAUGUGUAGCGUAACGGUUGGUGGCUUCACCACUUUGCUCUACAUGGGUUGUAGGAGCUUGUUGGAUGCUUCUGCUUGUGAUAUUAUGAAUAUAUGCUCUGUUUAUUCA